GCACUGCUGAGGAGUCUAAGAAUAGAAUGAAACGGCCGUCCAGUGC
rfam:Schistosoma mattheei strain Denwood, Zambia genome assembly, scaffold: SMTD_scaffold0011198